rnacentral:lncRNA from 1 species
CCGCAUACCCCCCGCGGAGAGGUGUACGUUACGGUGCUACGGAGGCCUUACUGGUCCUAACGGCUGCUCGGGAAGGGUGAGGGAUGUAUCCUUGUCUGCUCCUGGCUUUUACCCUCUAAUUCAGGGCUAUGCUGGGUCCUGAGAAGCCUUAAAGCCAGGCCAGCACCUCAAGCUCCGGUUCCUGUGUGCUGCUCAGCCCAGACCUGCAACCGUCAGGUCACUUCAGGUUGGAAGGAUGCGGCCCAGUGCCCGCCCGCAACGAGGAGUUGCCUUAUAUCACAUAGGAAAAAACUCUUUCUUUCAGGUUCCUGCAUUGCAGAAGUGCCAGCUUGGUAUUUUAUACAGCAGGCAGCAGGUUGAUGUGGGUGCAGAUUGGAGCUGAAAUCCUAAUACAUACAAAAUACAGCCCUUCUUCUCUUCCCAGCUAAAUAACAAAGUACAGGUAAAUAACAAUAAAGGUAAAUAACAGGUAAAUAAAGGUAAAUAACAAAGUACACUGAAAUGUGUACUGAAUUCCUGACUUUUUGGUCAUUGCAGCUUAACUCUUAGCAGUGCUCCUUUCUCAGUUUCCAGUAUGACUUCUCCAGAAGAGCCUACAAAUUGCUGUGGGGCUUGUUAAGGACUUUAAUGAGCUGCUGAGGAAGACAGCGGGGAUUUGUGUGCAAGGUCAGUGGUUGCAAUCCACCACAGCCUUUGCCACAACCAGCUAAUGGCUGCUAAAUGGUCAGUAUGAAAUCAGUUUAGUAGAUUUCAAGACAGACAGCAGUUGAUAAAUGCCUAAAAAUCACUUCUCCAAUUGGCUUCCUUGUAGGCAGUCACAGCAAGUUAGUCAAGGUCUGAAGAGGCCAUGCAAAUUCAGCAGUUCCUGGAGGUUAAGAGCACAGACAAGAUUGCUCGUGAAUACUUUCACCCUGUUGUGAAUGCCAAAAGUCUUCAGAGGAGGUCACUGCACAGCACUGCAGAUGCAAAGAUGAAGCUUCAGGAAAGGAAACCACUCAGAUGUCGAUAAGUGAUGUGCCAGAUCAGGGAGGAGAGCUGCGUGCUGCCAAGUGCCCUAGACAGCAGAGACAUGUCCCCAAUUAUGGAUGUGCGGACUCAGAAGGAUUAAAAGAAAGAGCUGGCAGCGCAUCCCUGCUGUUGUCCUUCAAGAUGAUUCUGGCACGAUAG